rnacentral:rRNA from 1 species
AGGGUUCGAUUAUGGCUCAGGAUGAACGCUAGCGGCAGGCCUAACACAUGCAAGUCGAGGGGUAACAGGGAGAAGCUUGCUUUUCCGCUGACGACCGGCGCACGGGUGCGUAACGCGUAUACAAUCUGCCUUAUACUGGGGUAUAGCCUUUAGAAAUGAAGAUUAAUCCCCCAUAGUCUCUUAGAGUGGCAUCAUUUUAGGAGUAAAGGUUACGGUAUAAGAUGAGUAUGCGUUCUAUUAGUUUGUUGGUGAGGUAACGGCUCACCAAGGCUACGAUAGAUAGGGGCCCUGAGAGGGGGAUCCCCCACACUGGUACUGAGACACGGACCAGACUCCUACGGGAGGCAGCAGUGAGGAAUAUUGGACAAUGGAGGCAACUCUGAUCCAGCCAUGCCGCGUGCAGGAAGACUGCCCUAUGGGUUGUAAACUGCUUUUAUAUAGGAAGAAACCUACUUACGUGUAAGUAGCUGACGGUACUAUAAGAAUAAGGAUCGGCUAACUCCGUGCCAGCCGCCGCGGUAAUUC